rnacentral:tRNA from 1 species
GACAAGUUGACCGAGUGGUUAAGGUGAUGGACUGCUAAUCCAUUGGGUUCUACCCGCGUGAGUUCGAAUCUCAUACUUGUCG